rnacentral:rRNA from 1 species
GACGAACGCUGGCGGCGUGCUUAACACAUGCAAGUCGAACGCUGAAGCUCAGCUUUUGUUGGGUGGAUGAGUGGCGAACGGGUGAGUAACACGUGAGUAACCUGCCUCCUUCUUUGGGAUAACGCCCGGAAACGGGUGCUAAUACUGGAUAUUCACUGGUCUUCGCAUGGGGGUUGGUGGAAAGGGUUUUUCUGGUGGGGGAUGGGCUCGCGGCCUAUCAGCUUGUUGGUGGGGUGAUGGCCUACCAAGGCUUUGACGGGUAGCCGGCCUGAGAGGGUGACCGGUCACAUUGGGACUGAGAUACGGCCCAGACUCCUACGGGAGGCAGCAGUGGGGAAUAUUGCACAAUGGGCGCUAGCCUGAUGCAGCGACGCCGCGUGAGGGAUGGAGGCCUUCGGGUUGUGAACCUCUUUCGCUCAUGGUCAAGCCGCAACAAUGGUUGUGGUGAGGGUAGUGGGUAAAGAAGCGCCGGCUAACUACGUG